rnacentral:rRNA from 1 species
UACGGAGGGUGCGAGCGUUGUCCGGAAUCACUGGGCGUAAAGGGCGCGUAGGUGGCGCGGGCAGUCAACCGGUGAAAGUUCGGGGCUCAACCCCGGAAUCGGCCGUCGAUACUCCCGGGCUUGAGCACUGUAGAGGCUAAUGGAAUUCCGGGUGUAGCGGUGGAAUGCGUAGAGAUCCGGAAGAACACCGGUGGCGAAGGCGGUUAGCUGGGCAGUUGCUGACACUGAGGCGCGACAGCGUGGGGAGCAACAGGG